AUGGUAGCUGUUGCUGACAUUUCUUCUUUUUCCAGAUUGUGUGAGCAGUUUCCCUCUUUUCCCCAGGUUACGUGGAUGUCUUUGCUGAUGGUCAGAAACUCUUCACUGCUGCAGUUCAGGAAGAAACAUGUAAACAGCUCCUCAGAAUCUGGGGCCAGUCCAAAGCAGCAAUGUCUGUGCUACAGGCAAGCUUUUCAAGCAGAAGCUAUUACACUGUCACAAGACUUCAUCCGCUGCAGUGAUAUUGCUAGAGACACAGAGUACAGGAAACCAAGGCUAUUUUCAUCCAGUGGGAUUUCUGGUUAGCCCUAUAAUUCAGCAUCCUGUUUUUACAUUUUACCUCUUUCUUCAUGUAUUAUGCAUCUUUGCCACUCUUGAAUGUGGUUGGGAAAAGCUGUCAGUUUCACUUUUCCUCCACAUUCACAGUUUUAAAACCUUGUGUCUUUUGAUCCCAAAUAUGACAAUUUUGAUAAAUUAUCUUAAAACAACUGGAAAUUGAACUGUCUUUCAUUUGCACAAGCUAAUUCCAGUAGCUAAAGAUAUUCUCAGAAGGGCCAGGACCAUCUGCCUUCCAUACAGGUGUUCAAAAUGGGGAAUCUAUGAGAAAAAAAGAAGUAGCAACUCUAAUUCACUAUUAACAUAACUGAUUAUGGGUGGAUUCAACCCUGGUUUAUGUAGUUAUAGCCCUUACUACAUAGAUGAUUUUCACCUUCAGUUUCUCCUGUAUUCUAAUUUUUAAAUUCUAAUGUUUGCUCCGCCCAACUAUGAAAAACAACGCAUUUUUUUUAGUUACUCUUCAUCCAAAAAUGAACUGCAAAUUCUCACCCAUCCAAAUGAAUGGAUAAGCAGGAAUUGCUGCCUGUGUAUAGCUACCCAUGUUAACAUUCAUUACUGAUAUAUCAGUGAGUGUUUUAAAUCAGAGGAGGGGAAAUCAAUAUAUUAUGUGUUUAUGCAGGUCUUAUGGAGACCUAGAAAUUUCUGUGAAUUCCAUUUGUAUGGAGAGAAUGUUUACUGAUGCUCUUGAAGUAGAAAAAUAUUAGGAGUCCUAUCUAGACACUAAGUGCUGUGCAAAAAAGUACCAUAUAGACUCAAGUAUAAGCCGACUCGAAUAUAAGCUGAGGCACCUAAUUUUACCACAAAAAACUGGGGUAACUUAUUGACUCGAGUAUAAGCCGAGGGUGGGAAAUGCAGCAGCUAUGGGUAAAUUUCAAAAUAAAAAUAGAUACCAAUAAAAUUUCAUUAAUCGAGGCAUCAGUAGGUUAAAUGUUUUUUAAUAUUUACCGUAUUUAAAAGAAAAGCAAUAAACUAGCACUAUAAGUGGAAAAGUAGGGGCAACAAAAACAAUAUGGUAUCAACAAUAACAUAAUAAUAAUAAUAAUAAUAAUAAUAAUAAUAAUAAUAAUAAUAAUAAUAAUAGCAACAACAACAACAACAACAACAAUAAAAACUUCAUUUGGAUCCCA
rnacentral:lncRNA from 1 species